UGGGUUAUAGCUCAGUAGCAGAGCACUUGUCUCACACACAUGAGGCACUGGGUUCGAUUCUCAGCACCACAU
rfam:Ictidomys tridecemlineatus contig093598, whole genome shotgun sequence.